ensembl:rRNA 5S_rRNA 5S ribosomal RNA
GCUUACGGCCAUACCACCCUGAGAACGCCCGAUCUCGUCUGAUCUCGGAAGUUAAGCAGGGUCGGGCCUGGUUAGUACUUGGAUGGGAGACCGCCUGGGAAUACCAGGUGCUGUAAGCU